AUUUAUUUAGUAUAACAAGUAUAUUUGAUUUCCAAUCAAAAAGUCUAAUUUUUAGAAUAAAUA
rnacentral:tRNA from 1 species